UACGGAGGGUGCAAGCGUUAUCCGGAUUCACUGGGGUUAAAGGGUGCGUAGGAGGGCAGGUAAGUCAGUGGUGAAAUCCCCAAGCUUAACUUGGGAACUGCCGUUGAUACUAUCUGUCUUGAAUACCGUGGAGAUGAGCGGAAUAUGUCAUGUAGCGGUGAAAUGCUUAGAUAUGACAUAGAACACCAAUUGCGAAGGCAGCUCGUUACACGAAUAUUGACUCUGAGGCACGAAAGCGUGGGGAUCAAACAGG
rnacentral:rRNA from 1 species